rnacentral:lncRNA from 1 species
GGGCAGAGAUGCAGGGAACCACCACGUUGUACGGCAACCAACGUGCCGCCCCUCUGUGGGCGGGGAUUCACACUAGCUGUCUGUGUCAAGGCCACGCAGAAAUCUAUUGGAAAUCGCUGUGGAAACAAACGCAAAUGAAAAGCCGCAAAGAGCAAAGGAAUUGGCUCAUGUGAUUAAGGCAGAGAGGCCCUGCAAUCUGCCAUCUGCAAGCUGGAAAACCAGGACAGCUGGUCGUAUAAGCCCUAGUCUGAGUCCAGAGUCCCAAGAACCAGGAGUGCUGAUAUUCAAGAACAGAGACCAUGAAUGUCCCAGCUUAAGCAGAGAGAAAAUUCACUCUCCUCCGCAUGUUUUUCUAUUCAGACCCUCAACAAAUUGGAUGAUACUCACCUACAUUGUGAAGGCAAUCUUCGUUACUUAGUGUACUGAUUCCAAUGCUAAUCUUUUCUGAAGCCACCUUCACAGACCCACAGAAAUAAUGUUACCAGCUAUCUGGGCAUCUCUUAGCCCAGUCAAGUUGACACAUGAAAUUAAUCAUCAGGCUGGGCGUGGUGGCUCACACCUGUAAUCCCAGUGCUUUGGGAGGCCAGGGUGGACAGAUUGCUUGAGUUCAGCCUGGGCAACAUGGCAAAACCCCAUCUCUACCAAAAAUACAAAAAAGUUAGCCAGGUGUGGUGGUGCAUACCUGUGGUCUCAGCUACUCAGGAGGCUGAGGUGGGAGGAUUACUUGAGCCUGGGAGGCAGAGGUUGCAGUAAGCUGAGAUGGCACCACUGCACUCCAACCUGAGUGACAGAGUGAGACCCCAUCUGAAAAAAAAAAAAAAGAAAUUAAUCAUCAUGGGGUGGGGGUAGAAGGUAGAAUUAUCUGAACACUUUUUAGUUUAAUGCCUGGACUGGGCUGCUUCAAAGGCUGGGCUCUCAUAUGGAACUGUCAACCAGAGCAACUACAUAUAGCCUUUCUAUAAGGCUUAGAAUUCUCACAAAUGGCAAUUUGGUUCUGGGAGGUAGGUUCUCAAGAGAAAGCAUCUAGGAAAAAAGCAUUGUAAGAGAAACAACAGAAGAUGCAUGGCCUUGGAAGUCACAUAGCAUCACUUCAAUCAUACUCUAUUGGUUAAGGGUGUCAGAAACCUAAAAAGAUUC